GCGAUUGUAGCUCAGUUGGUUAGAGUAGCGGGUUGUGGUUCCGUUGGCCGGGGGUUCGAAUCCCCUCAUUCGCC
rnacentral:tRNA from 1 species